AUUAACUCAGUGUUCAAGGGUCGCAUCACCCAAAGAGCGCCGAGUGGAAUCGGUACCCAAAGCAUAACAACUGCGUACACCCCAUAUGUAGUGAAGGCGCGUUCUGGAGCAUCGUUGAAUUUCCGGUUCUGCGACACACGUGGUUUGGAGGUCCCUCAAGGUCUUGAUAAUCUGGAAUGCAACUACUUGCUGGAUGGGAACAUUUCUGACUUUUACGAGUUUAACCCUGCCACGCCCAUUUGCCCUGAGAAUCCCGGUUUCGUGCACAAACCAAAUCUAAAGGAGAAGAUUCAUUGCGUUCUGUUUGUGAUCGACGCUGCAACUAUUGACGAAAUUCCUCAAAAUUGGUCGAAAAGAUGAACAGCUUUCAGCGGAUCGCAAAUCGCAAAGGUAUACUAAGAGCGGUUCUGCUCACAAAAGUCGACCUGGCCUGUAAGAAUAGUUGCAAGUAACAUCACCAAUGUGUUUAUCAGUAAGAAAAUUGAGGGCGCUGUGGACAAGGUAUCCGGCCAUCUUGGGUUACCUAGAAACAACAUUUUUCCGGUGAAGAACUACGAGAAUGAGAUGCAGCUGGAUGACAACAUCAGAAUCCUGGCUCUGCUUGCACUGCGGCAGCUACUCUACUUUGCAGAGGACUACGUU